UACGUAGGGGGCAAGCGUUGUCCGGAUUUACUGGGCGUAAAGAGCGUGUAGGCGGCCACGCAGGUCCGUUGUGAAAACUGGAGGCUCAACCUUCAGACGUCGACGGAAACCGUAUGGCUAGAGUCCGGAAGAGGAGAGUGGAAUUCCUGGUGUAGCGGUGAAAUGCGCAGAUAUCAGGAAGAACACCCGUGGCGAAGGCGGCUCUCUGGGACGUGACUGACGCUGAGACGCGAAAGCGUGGGGAGCGAACAGG
rnacentral:rRNA from 1 species